rnacentral:lncRNA from 1 species
CCUGGGUUUAACAAAAGCUAAAAUAAAUAUAUACUAAAGAAAUUAGCCAAAAGAUUAAUUAUAUUACCUACAAAGAACUUUACAAACUAAUUUAUGUAUCAUUGUCAUUUUUUUUAGUUGCUUUUGUUACCUAUACUGACAUCAGACUGACUUCUUAAAAACUGAGUUUUACUGUGCGUAUUGUUGUGUGUUUGUUUUUUCUACAGUGGCUAGAGGUAUAGGAAUAGGGUUGAGAUCUUAAAAAAAAAACAUGUUCAACUCCGCCGCAUUUUUGCACCUGUCCCAAGUCAGGAGCCUGGUCUUUGUUAUCCUUGUAUGGUUUUUUAAUUUAAGUUUCUUUUAUAUACUUUGGCGUUUAGUAAGAUGUCCAUUAUCACUGAACUAGUAUACAUUUUUGUUUAGGGGCCAGCUGAAGGAUGCCUCCAUGUUCAGGAUUUUUCUUGCUACAUUGAAAUUGUUUGCCUUCGGCUGUUAUUUGAUCUUUGGUCAGGUUGUUGUCUCUUUGACACAUUCACUGUUUCCAUUCUCAAUUUUAAACUUAUUUUGAUCAUAUUAAUACAUCACAGUUCAGUCCUUCAAUCAUUUAAUAUUUUUUAAUUAAUUCGUCUUCAUGACUUUCUACUAGAUUGAAGGAAUGUACCCUGGUAUUUAUUGCAUUCACAAAUGAUGACAAUAACAGUGUUUUAAUCUCUUUGCAAUUGACUCAUUAAUUAGUUAUGAACAUAAAUACUUUCUACAUAGCACCAGUAUCCUUAAGGAAGCUUACAAGAAACCUAAAGAUUUUCACUUGACAUUUCACAACAACCACCAGAGCGAUGAUGAUGACCUUUAAAUGUCCAGUGGCAAGUUAAAUCCUUAUUCACAACUUUUGGCUAUUUCAUGAAGGUCAGUUUUUAUUUGAGAAAGAAGCCUUUGGCUCAAGAGAACACAAUAUUUUGCAGGAAAACUGAUAACCUUUGUCAAUUAAGAUUAAGGUCAAGUGCACCUGCCAUAUGCGGGGUUCAAACUCAAAAACUGUCAAUAUUGACAGGCUAGUGAUAGAGUAGUUGAGCUACUUAGACCACUCAAUGCCCCUAAUGGUAUUUAUAAAUGUUUAAUAUAAAGUUAAAGUGUAAAUUUCAUUUUCCCUGUAACUGCUCAUUCAUUGCUUAAGAUUAAAAGAUAUACAAGACAUACAAAUGAAUUGUCUGUUGGAAUGGGUGUAAAUUCACUUUCAACCUAAAUACAGUAUCAAUAUGACACUUAUCUCGGGGCACAAUUGUGACUGGAAUAGUUACAUGUAUGUUUCAAUAUGAUACAGUAUUUUGAUUGGCUAACAGCAAUCUUGCAUCAUUCAGAAAUUAAUAUUUAUUUAAAAAUGAAAUGAUGAUACGAGCUUCCACAACAACAGGCAAACAAAAGAAAACUAGAGAAUAAUCAUGUUUUCAU